rnacentral:rRNA from 1 species
GAUGAACGCUAGCGGCAGGCUUAAUACAUGCAAGUCGAGGGGCAUCAAGGUACACGAAAGUGUAUUGUUGGCGACCGGCGGACGGGUGAGUAAUAGGUAGGUAACCUACCUCAUACUGAGGCAUAGCUGGGAGAAAUUCCAGGUAAUUCCUCAUGAGGUUAUAUGACACAUGUGAUAUAAUCAAAGGUAUCGCAAGGUACUGGUAUGAGAUGGGCUUACUGACCAUUAGCUAGUUGGUGAGAUAAGAGCUCACCAAGGCGAAGAUGGUUAGGGGUUUUGAGAGAGAGAUCCCCCACAUUGGAACUGAGAUACGGUCCAGACUCCUACGGGAGGCAGCAGUAGGGAAUAUUGGGCGAAUGGGCGGGAAGCCUGACCCAGCCAUGCCGCGUGAAGGAAGACGGCCUUAUGGGUUGUAAACUUCUUUACUUAUGCGACUAACUAAGAUUUACGUAGAUAAUUACUUAUAGAAUAGUAGUACGAUAAGCAAAAAGAACGACCGGACCG